CUAAUACUGACUCUACCAAACAUUAAGAACACCUUACUAAUACUGACUCUACCAAACAUUAAGAACACCUUACUAAUACUGACUCUACCAAACAUUAAGAACACCUUACAUACUUUUCCCCUCAAUGUGUUGGGGCCUGGACUCUACAAGGUGUAGAAAGUGUUCCACAGAGAUGCUGGACCAUAUUGACUCUAAUGCUUCCCACAGUUGUGUCAAGAUGGCUGGAUGUCCUUUGGGUGGUGGACCAUUCUUUAUACACACAGGAAACUGUUGAGUGUGAAAACUCCAGCAGCGUUGCAGUUCUUGACACAAACUGGUAUCACCUGGAACCUACUAGCAUACCCUGUUCAAAGACACAUCUUCUGCCUUGGCUAUUCACCCUCUGAAUGGUACACAGUCCAUGUCUCAACUGUGUCAGGGCUUUAAAAACAUCCUUGUUUAACCUGUCUCCUCCUCUUCAUCUUCACUGAUUGAAGUGGAUUUAACUAGUGACAUCAAUAAGGGAUCAUAGCUUGGAUUCACUUGGUCAGUCUGUCACAUUCUUAAUGUUUUGUCUGCUCAGUGUACAAGUAUGCCUUGUGAGUAUUAAUGUUACUACCUCCUUGUUCAGACUAUCAGGAAGCUGAAGUGAAUACGAAUAUCGCCCACAAACACCCUCGCCGCCAUGUGCUCGAGCUGAGUUGGUCACGUGGGUUGGUUACACAGGAAGCUUCCUCUCUUCUCUGCAGACCUGUCUAUUGCAGGACGAGAGGCUCACUCUCAUAGCCAGAGAUUACAUGAAGACAUUUUAAAACUCUGUGUUAUAGCUCUGGAGACAAACAUCUUGCCAUUUACAGUAGAUCUCUGAAACAUGUAGUUACCCUCCAGCUAUCCAUCCACAAUGCUCAGACCAGUUUGGUUGCUUACCUCCUGAACUGAGGAAUGGGAGCACUGUAACAGACCAGGGAAGACUCAACUCCAAACAAGGUUCAGUACUGUAACAGACCAGGGACAGCCUCUAGGGAACACAUCACCCUGAAGCAGGUUCAGUACUGUAACAGACCAGGGAACACAUCACCCUGAAGCAGGUUCAGUACUGUAACAGACCAGGGACAGCCUCUAGGGAAUACAUCACCCUGAAGCAGGUUCCUCAGGCAACGAGAGAACACAAGGCCUGGUCAAUGUUUUCCAGUUUACCACUGUGGAAUGUUAAUACUAAGACCACAGUUCAACAAAGUUUGUUUAGGAUUCCAGGUUUGAAUGAUUGGAGUGAGUGAGUGAGUUUACUGUACGUGCAUGUGUAUUGACAGAUAUUGGAGCACCUUUGCUAGUCCGAUUCCAUGAAACACCAUAACUAUAGUAACCAGGAGAACGAGCAGUAUGGGUCUCCGUCCCAAAUGGAACAAUAUUCCCUACAUAGUGCACUACUUUUGGCCAAAGGCCCAUAGGUUGAACUAUAGUACUUCGACUACAUAGUGCUCU
ensembl:lncRNA